UAGGUGAACCUGCGGAAGGAUCAUUACCGAGUUGAUUCGAGCUCCGGCUCGACUCUCCCACCCAAUGUGUACCUACCUCUGUUGCUUUGGCGGGCCGCGGUCCUCCGCACCGGCGCCCUUCGGGGGGCUGGCCAGCGCCCGCCAGAGGACCAUAAAACUCCAGUCAGUGAACUUCGCAGUCUGAAAAACAAGUUAAUAAACUAAAACUUUCAACAACGGAUCUCUUGGUUCUGGCAUCGAUGAAGAACGCAGCGAAAUGCGAUAAGUAAUGUGAAUUGCAGAAUUCAGUGAAUCAUCGAAUCUUUGAACGCACAUUGCGCCCCUUGGUAUUCCGAGGGGCAUGCCUGUUCGAGCGUCAUUUCAACCCUCAAGCUCUGCUUGGUAUUGGGCCUCGUCCUCCACGGACGCGCCUUAAAGACCUCGGCGGUGGCGUCUUGCCUCAAGCGUAGUAGAAAACACCUCGCUUUGGAGCGCACGGCGUCGCCCGCCGGACGAACCUUUGAAUUAUUUCUCAAGGUUGACCUCGGAUCAGGUAGGGAUACCCGCUGAACUUAAGCAUAUCAAUAAGCGGAGGA
rnacentral:rRNA from 1 species